rnacentral:rRNA from 1 species
CGGAGGAUCCAAGCGUUAUCCGGAAUCAGUUGGGUUUAAAGGGUCCGUAGGCGGUUUUAUAAGUCAGUGGUGAAAUCUGGUCGCUCAACGAUCAAACGGCCAUUGAUACUGUAAGACUUGAAUUACUUGGAAGUAACUAGAAUAUGUAGUGUAGCGGUGAAAUGCUUAGAGAUUACAUGGAAUACCAAUUGCGAAGGCAGGUUACUACAAGUAUAUUGACGCUGAUGGACGAAAGCGUGGGGAGCGAACAGGAUUAGAUACCCUGGUAGUCCACGCCGUAAACGAUGGAUACUAGCUGUUUGGAGCAAUCUGAGUGGCUAAGCGAAAGUGAUAAGUAUCCCACCUGGGGAGUACGCUCGCAAGAGUG